GCGAACGGACGAGAAGCUUGCUUCUCUGAUGUUAGCGGCGGACGGGUGAGUAACACGUGGAUAACCUACCUAUAAGACUGGGAUAACUUCGGGAAACCGGAGCUAAUACCGGAUAAUAUUUUGAACCGCAUGGUUCAAAAGUGAAAGACGGUCUUGCUGUCACUUAUAGAUGGAUCCGCGCUGCAUUAGCUAGUUGGUAAGGUAACGGCUUACCAAGGCAACGAUGCAUAGCCGACCUGAGAGGGUGAUCGGCCACACUGGAACUGAGACACGGUCCAGACUCCUACGGGAGGCAGCAGUAGGGAAUCUUCCGCAAUGGGCGCAAGCCUGACGGAGCAACGCCGCGUGAGUGAUGAAGGUCUUCGGAUCGUAAAACUCUGUUAUUAGGGAAGAACAUAUGUGUAAGUAACUGUGCACAUCUUGACGGUACCUAAUCAGAAAGCCACGGCUAACUACGUGCCAGCAGCCGCGGUAAUACGUAGGUGGCAAGCGUUAUCCGGAAUUAUUGGGCGUAAAGCGCGCGUAGGCGGUUUUUUAAGUCUGAUGUGAAAGCCCACGGCUCAACCGUGGAGGGUCAUUGGAAACUGGAAAACUUGAGUGCAGAAGAGGAAAGUGGAAUUCCAUGUGUAGCGGUGAAAUGCGCAGAGAUAUGGAGGAACACCAGUGGCGAAGGCGACUUUCUGGUCUGUACUGACGCUGAUGUGCGAAAGCGUGGGGAUCAAACAGGAUUAGAUACCCUGGUAGUCCACGCCGUAAACGAUGAGUGCUAAGUGUUAGGGGGUUUCCGCCCCUUAGUGCUGCAGCUAACGCAUUAAGCACUCCGCCUGGGGAGUACGACC
rnacentral:rRNA from 1 species